GGGGUUGUGGCUCAGUGGUAGAGCUCUUGCCUCGCAUGCAUGUGACACUGGAAUCGAUCCUCAGCACCA
rnacentral:tRNA from 1 species